GGGGUUGUGGCUCAGUGGUAGAGUGCUCACCUAGCAUGUGAGAGAGCCUGGGUUGGAUCCUCAGCACCA
rnacentral:tRNA from 1 species